GUGUCAGCCGCCGCGGUAAUACGGAGGGGGUUAGCGUUGUUCGGAAUUACUGGGCGUAAAGCGCACGUAGGCGGAUCGGAAAGUUGGGGGUGAAAUCCCGGGGCUCAACCCCGGAACUGCCUCCAAAACUAUCGGUCUAGAGUUCGAGAGAGGUGAGUGGAAUUCCGAGUGUAGAGGUGAAAUUCGUAGAUAUUCGGAGGAACACCAGUGGCGAAGGCGGCUCACUGGCUCGAUACUGACGCUGAGGUGCGAAAGUGUGGGGAGCAAACAGGAUUAGAUACCCUGGUAGUCCACACCGUAAACGAUGAAUGCCAGUCGUCGGGUAGCAUGCUAUUCGGUGACACACCUAACGGAUUAAGCAUUCCGCCUGGGGAGUACGGUCGCAAGAUUAAAACUUAAAUGAAUUGACGGGG
rnacentral:rRNA from 1 species